rnacentral:lncRNA from 1 species
CCUCCUUUCCCUUUCGGAUUCCCGACGCUGUGGUUGCUGUAAGGGGUCCUCCCUGCGCCACACGGCCGUCGCCAUGGUGAAGCUGAGCAAAGAGGCCAAGCAGAGACUACAGCAGCUCUUCAAGGGGAGCCAGUUUGCCAUUCGCUGGGGCUUUAUCCCUCUUGUGAUUUACCUGGGAUUUAAGAGGGGUGCAGAUCCCGGAAUGCCUGAACCAACUGUUUUGAGAUUGUCAUGGGAUUAA